CACGUAGGGCGCAAGCGUUGUCCGGAAUUAUUGGGCGUAAAGAGCGUGUAGGCGGCCAUGUAGGUCCGUUGUGAAAACUCGAGGCUCAACCUCGAGACGCCGAUGGAAACCAUGUGGCUAGAGUCCGGAAGAGGAGAGUGGAAUUCCUGGUGUAGAGGUGAAAUUCGUAGAUAUUGGGAAGAACACCGAUGGCGAAGGCAGCCAUCUGGACCGGCACUGACGCUGAGGCGCGAAAGCGUGGGGAGCAAACAGG
rnacentral:rRNA from 1 species